rnacentral:rRNA from 1 species
GACGAACGCUGGCGGCGUGCUUAACACAUGCAAGUCGAGCGGUAAGGCCCUUUCGGGGGUACACGAGCGGCGAACGGGUGAGUAACACGUGGGUGACCUGCCUCUAGCUCUGGGAUAAGCCCGGGAAACUGGGUCUAAUACUGGAUAUGACUCCAUGACGCAUGUUGUGGGGUGGAAAGCCUUGUGCGGCUAGAGAUGGGCCCGCGGCCUAUCAGCUUGUUGGUGGGGUGAUGGCCUACCAAGGCGACGACGGGUAGCCGGCCUGAGAGGGCGACCGGCCACACUGGGACUGAGACACGGCCCAGACUCCUACGGGAGGCAGCAGUGGGGAGUCUUGCGCAAUGGGCGAAAGCCUGACGCAGCGACGCCGCGUGAGGGAUGACGGCCUGGUU